rnacentral:rRNA from 1 species
GUCGGUAAAACUCGUGCCAGCCACCGCGGUUAUACGAGAGACCCAAGUUGAUAGACACCGGCGUAAAGAGUGGUUAAGAUUUACCCAAAACUAAAGCCGAACGCCCUCAGAGCUGUUAUACGCACCCGAGGGUUAGAAGCCCAACCACGAAAGUGGCUUUAAACAAUCUGAACCCACGAAAGCUAUGACACAAACUGGGAUUAGAUACCCCACUAUG